CUUAAAUGAAUUGACGGGGCCCGCACAAGCGGUGGAUUAUGUGGAUUAAUUCGAUGCAACGCGAAAACCUUACUACCCUUGACGUGCUAGGAACUUGCCAGAGAUGGCUUGGUGCCCGAAAGGGAACCUAGACACAGGUGCUGCAUGGCUGUCGUCAGCUCGUGUCGUGAGAUGUUGGGUUAAGUCCCGCAACGAGCGCAACCCUUGUCAUUAAUUGCCAUCAUUCAGUUGGGCACUUUAAUGAGACUGCCGGUGACAAACCGGAGGAAGGUGGGGAUGACGUCAAGUCCUCAUGGCCCUUAUGGGUAGGGCUUCACACGUAAUACAAUGGUCGGUACAGAGGGUUGCCAACCCGCGAGGGGGAGCCAAUCCCAGAAAACCGAUCGUAGUCCGGAUUGCAGUCUGCAACUCGACUGCAUGAAGUCGGAAUCGCUAGUAAUCGCGGAUCAGCAUGUCGCGGUGAAUACGUUCCCGGGCCUU
rnacentral:rRNA from 1 species